CAGCCGCCGCGGUAAUACGUAGGGGGCGAGCGUUGUCCGGAAUUAUUGGGCGUAAAGCGCGCGCAGGCGGUCCUUUAAGUCUGAUGUGAAAGCCCACGGCUCAACCGUGGAGGGUCAUUGGAAACUGGGGGACUUGAGUGCAGGAGAGGAGAGCGGAAUUCCACGUGUAGCGGUGAAAUGCGUAGAGAUGUGGAGGAACACCAGUGGCGAAGGCGGCUCUCUGGCCUGUAACUGACGCUGAGGCGCGAAAGCGUGGGGAGCAAACAGGAUUAGAUACCCGGGUAGUCCACGCCGUAAACGAUGAGUGCUAAGUGUUAGAGGGGUCACACCCUUUAGUGCUGUAGCUAACGCGAUAAGCACUCCGCCUGGGGAGUACGGCCGCAAGGCUGAAACUUAAAGGAAUUGGCGGG
rnacentral:rRNA from 1 species